rnacentral:rRNA from 1 species
GGUGUACAGGUGGUGCAUGGUUGUCGUCAGCUCGUGUCGUGAGAUGUUGGGUUAAGUCCCGCAACGAGCGCAACCCCUUGUCUUAUGUUGCCCAGCACGUGAUGGUGGGGACUCAUGAGAGACUGCCGGGGUUAACUCGGAGGAAGGUGGGGAUGACGUCAAAUCAUCAUGCCCCUUAUGUCCAGGGCUUCACACAUGCUACAAUGGUCGGUACAACGCGUGUGCGACACUGUGAGGUGAAGCUAAUCGCUCUAAAGCCGGUCGUAGUUCGGAUUGGGGUCUGCAACUCGACCCCAUGAAGUCGGAGUCGCUAGUAAUCGCAGAUCAGCAACGCUGCGGUGAAUACGUUCCCGGGCCUU